UACGGNGGGUGCAAGCGUUAAUCGGAAUUACUGGGCGUAAAGCGCNCGUAGGCGGUUUUUUAAGUCNGAUGUGAAAGCCCCGGGCUCAACCUGGGAACUGCAUNCGAUACUGGAAGACUAGANUGCGGGAGAGGGAGGNAGAAUUCCAUGUGUAGCNGUGAAAUGCGUAGAUAUAUGGAAGAAUACCAGUGGCGAAGGCGGCCUNCUGGCUCGACAUUGACGCUGANGUGCGAAAGCGUGGGGAGCAAANGGG
rnacentral:rRNA from 1 species